CUGAGGGUCAUUCAUAUGUAAAUUCGGCCUAAGGCCUUGGUGGUUGGUCUUUUUUGGACUUAUUCACACAAAUUUGUGCUGUUAUAAGACCUCAGAUGAUUUCCAGCUACCACUGCGUCACAUCAGUGAUGCCAACUUUAGUGUUGAUGGGUUAAGUAAACCAUACCUACAACCAGUAGUGCAGCCUUAAUACACCUCUGCAGAAAUAAUGAAAACCACAGGAGUAUUUAUCUUGCUUUAUGUGUAAGCCUAUUAGAAAUAACAAAAUUUAGCAUUUUUUCUACGGGGAAAGGCUAUGAUACACUGUCUAAGCAGUUUCAUUUCUUUCAUAUUGACAGUUCAGGAGUCGCUGCUGCUGCUGCUGCUAACAGGGAUGGCAUGGCUAGAGUACUGUAUGAGUAAGUUUGGUCCCCUUGUCAUUCUAUGCUAACAACCCAGUUAUGAGGCCAAACUCUUUCAUCCAUAUAAAAUUGAAAACAAUUCCAUGGUGAAAGGCUCCCUUUCUCCCUAAUUUGGAGGGAUGAACCAGUGAAAGAAAAAAUGAUGCAGAAGUAAUAUAAGCCUGGUUUCAACAGCUCACAGAAUCUGCUCAGUGGCAACUUUCUAGCAAUGAGAAUUUAUGCUGCUUUGUCAUGCCCAUGCAUACAGCUGCAGGGAUAGUAAAUAGCUUGCUGCCAGGAUGCUUCUCUUUCCAACUUUUACUGA